rnacentral:rRNA from 1 species
UAACGCGGAAAGCUUGCUUUCCGGCGACGAGUGGCGGACGGGUGAGUAAUGCAUAGGAAUCUGCCCUAUGGAGGGGGAUAACGCAGGGAAACUUGCGCUAAUACCGCAUAAGACCUUUGGGAGAAAGAGGGCGUAAGCUCUCGCCAUUGGAUGAGCCUAUGUUGGAUUAGCUAGUUGGUGGGGUAAAGGCCUACCAAGGCGACGAUCUAUAGCUGGUUUGAGAGGAUGAUCAGCCACAUUGGGACUGAGACACGGCCCAAACUCCUACGGGAGGCAGCAGUGGGGAAUAUUGGACAAUGGGGGCAACCCUGAUCCAGCAAUGCCGCGUGUGUGAAGAAGGCCUUCGGGUUGUAAAGCACUUUCGGUAGUGAAGAAGAUUCGCUGGUUAACAGCCAGCGAAGUGACAUUAGCUACAGAAGAAGCACCGGCUAACUCCGUGCCAGCAGCCGCGGUAAUACGGGGGGUGCGAGCGUUAUUCGGAAUGACUGGGCGUAAAGGGCGCGUAGGCGGAGAUUCAAGUCAGAUGUGAAAGCCCCGGGCUUAACCUGGGAACGGCAUUUGGAACUGAAUUUCUGGAGUAUGUCAGAGGAAGGCGGAAUUUCCAGUGUAGCAGUGAAAUGCGUAGAGAUUGGAAGGAACACCGAUGGCGAAGGCAGCCUUCUGGGGCAAUACUGACGCUGAGGCGCGAAAGCGUGGGGAGCGAACAGGAUUAGAUACCCUGGUAGUCCACGCCCUAAACGAUGUCAACUAGGUGUUGGGUACGAAUGUACUCGGUGCUGCAGCUAACGCGUUAAGUUGACCGCCUGGGGAGUACGGCCGCAAGGUUGAAACUCA